rnacentral:lncRNA from 1 species
AGAAAGAUGGAACUCUUUCCCCAUUAUUGACUCGAUAGAUCUUGGGUUUUUAUCUCAAUGCUUCAACCAUGUAAUGGGAGCAAAGAGAGGACACACUGAAUAGUGGGGGAUAGAUUGCUUAUCCCUACCUUCCACCAAUUGCCUCAAAUGAGGACUUUUCCUGCUUGGGACAAUUUUAAACAAACACAGGCAUUGCCUCUUAAGGAGGACUUCAGACAGUUUGCCCG